GAUGAACGCUGGCGGCGUGCCUAAUACAUGCAAGUCGAGCGAACAGACGAGGAGCUUGCUCCUUUGACGUUAGCGGCGGACGGGUGAGUAACACGUAGGUAACCUACCUAUAAGACUGGGAUAACUUCGGGAAACCGGAGCUAAUACCGGAUAAUAUUUCGAACCGCAUGGUUCGAUAGUGAAAGAUGGCUUUGCUAUCACUUAUAGAUGGACCUGCGCCGUAUUAGCUAGUUGGUAAGGUAACGGCUUACAAAGGCAACGAUACGUAGCCGACCUGAGAGGGUGAUCGGCCACACUGGAACUGAGACACGGUCCAGACUCCUACGGGAGGCAGCAGUAGGGAAUCUUCCGCAAUGGGCGAAAGCCUGACGGAGCAACGCCGCGUGAGUGAUGAAGGUCUUCGGAUCGUAAAACUCUGUUAUUAGGGAAGAACAAACGUGUAAGUAACUGUGCACGUCUUGACGGUACCUAAUCAGAAAGCCACGGCUAACUACGUG
rnacentral:rRNA from 1 species